rnacentral:lncRNA from 1 species
UCUCGCUCUGUCCCGCUGCCUGGAGUGCAGUGGCGCGAUCUCGGCUCACUGCAAGCUCCGCCUCCCAGGUUCGCGCCAUUCUCCUGCCUCAGCCUCCCGAGUAGCUGGGACUAUAGGCGCCCUCUACCGCGCCCAGCUAAUGUUUUUUUGUUUUUGUAUUUUUAGUAGAGACGGGGUUUCACCGUGUUAGCCAGGAUGGUCUCGAUCUCCUGACCUCGUGAUCCGCCCGCCUCGGCCUCCCAAAGUGCUGGGAUUACAGGAGUGAGCCACCGCGCCCGGCCACGUAGUUUGACUUCUAAGAGCACUACAGCUCUGCUGAAGAUGUGGUUUGUCAGCUGACUGAUUAUUCUCUGCUGUUCUGGAUAGUCUUCUAUGUACAAAACUAGAGAUGAGUGGACUUUUCGUGUGCUGUGUGGUGGAUGUGACUCAGGUCAUAGCCACUGCUCUGAAAAGUGAUGGAGUCAGGGAGCCAUCAUCCAGCCUCACCUCCUGGGUUGUCAACCUACAUUUUUGGAGCCAGCUCAUUCUUUGAGGUUUCUCUAAGUCCCCAUAUAUUACAAGAAUCUCGGAUACAUUACUUGAGGACAGUAUAGAUUCCAGAAGAGCUGCUAUUCAUGUUGACCAACAGUCUUAAGCAGAAAGAAAUAGCUUCUGGAAAAAUAACUGUGCAACCCUUGUCAGAGUGGGCUCUGCCUUCCAUAGUUAUUCAGGAUCCCCUAGUGGAUGAAAGCCUGGUUAUCAGUCACACCAUCUGGAAUAUGUAAUUACUGUGGAAGAGGAAAAGACACACUACAGUGCAUCUUAAUUGCCUGGAAGCUGAAAGUGACAUAACUCAUUUCUGACCACAUCCCAUUGGCCAAUCCUAAUAGCAUGGCCCCAGCAUAACUGCAAGGGAAGCACAUGUAUUUGGUUAGCCCUCUGUACACAUGGUAAUUCUAAAAUUUAAUGUCCAAAAUUUUCCUUCUAUUCUACGUGAGCAAAUCCCCAAUUAUGUAAAUAAAAAACAAAAACCUCCAAACAAUGGGUCAUCUUUUGUUUCCCACAUUAUUUUGUAACUGAUAUUCAAUUCAUCAGAAAUUCUGUUAGCUUGAUAUAAAGAAUAUCCUGAAUUUGAUCACAUCUCACAACAUCUACUAAUACCAACCUCCUUCCUACUAGCUUUACAUACAUAGAAAAAUUCUUUUUUGUGUUAAAGUAAAUUUAAUUUAAAAUUACUUUUAAAUUAAAUGUUUUUAUGUAACAUGCAUGUCUGC